rnacentral:tmRNA from 1 species
GGGGCUGAACUGGUAUCGACCCUGAUCGGACCGAGAUAGGUGAAGCGAGCCGAGGAACCCUGGCAGCCUCGUUAAACCGCUGGGGAACUUAUAACUGCCGCUGCGUAAGCACGGUUCCCGUCCACUCUAGCGACGGGCGUCGGCCUGAGAUGAGCCUUCGAUCUCAGGGUCCGGCGUCGUUCAGAAGGCUUACCGAUCGGAGCGUGCUCGAAGGCUCUGGUCGGGACACCUCACUUCGAGCUAGGUCUGGAGUAGCGCUGUUCGUACGCCAACCAGACCGAAACCCCAAGUACGAACUACGCUCGUAGAAGCCCUAUCACGGGGUCGGGGGACCCGGGUUCGAUUCCCGGCAGCUCCACUU